rnacentral:rRNA from 1 species
AUUGAACGCUGGCGGCAGGCCUAACACAUGCAAGUCGAACGAGUGGCGGACGGGAGGGUAAGGUCUGUGAAACUGCGCGAUGGAGGGGGAUCACUACUGGAAACGGUAGCUAAUACCGCAUACCAUCGGAUGUGCCCAGUUGGGAUGAGCUAGUGGGUGGGGUAACGCCUCACCAAGGCGACGAUCCGUAGCUGGUUUGAGAGGAUGACCAGCCACACUGGAACUGAGACACGGUCCAGACUCCUACGGGAGGCAGCAGUGGGGAAUAUUGCACAAUGGGCGAAAGCCUGAUGCAGCCAUGCCGCGUGUAUGAAGAAGGCCUUCGGGUUGUAAAGUACUUUCAGCGAGGAGGCGUUACUCGCAGAAGAAGCACUGGCUAACUCCGUGCCAGCAGCCGCGGUAAUUC